GAUGAACGCUGGCGGCGUGCCUAAUACAUGCAAGUCGAGCGAACAGACGAGGAGCUUGCUCCUCUGACGUUAGCGGCGGACGGGUGAGUAACACUUGGAUAACCUACCUAUAAGACUGGGAUAACUUCGGGAAACCGGAGCUAAUACCGGAUAAUAUAUUUAACCGCAUGGUUCAAUAGUGAAAGACGGUUUUGCUGUCACUUAUAGAUGGAUCCGCGCCGCAUUAGCUAGUUGGUAAGGUAACGGCUUACCAAGGCGACGAUGCGUAGCCGACCUGAGAGGGUGAUCGGCCACACUGGAACUGAGACACGGUCCAGACUCCUACGGGAGGCAGCAGUAGGGAAUCUUCCGCAAUGGGCGAAAGCCUGACGGAGCAACGCCGCGUGAGUGAUGAAGGUCUUCGGAUCGUAAAACUCUGUUAUUAGGGAAGAACAAAUGUGUAAGUAACUAUGCACGUCUUGACGGUACCUAAUCAGAAAGCCACGGCUAACUACGUG
rnacentral:rRNA from 1 species